rnacentral:lncRNA from 1 species
GUAAUGAAUGCUGGGAAGUCAAGCUGGGAGAAGCGGCUGAGAAAACUAUUUUAGAAAGUAAUGAGAGGCUCUUCUGCAUGGCAAGAGAGUUGAUAGAAGCCCGACGGCUCUUUGGGAGGAGAGCCAUCUAAGCAGUGCUGUCAGUCAGUGAGUCUGAAAAGUACCUUUGGAUCACACUUGACUUUUAUGGAAGACUCCAGAAUAUCAGCAGAGAAGUGGGGAAGUGUCUGGUACCUCCAGAAGAGAGAGGCUCCCUGGCUGUUGUUGUGUAGCACGUCCGACAGAUCCCAGUGAGGUCAAAGGACUGGUGGAAUAUCUAUACCAGAAGGAAUACAUGGUCAGGAUACAGGAGUCCGUUUUGAGAUUUGGAUGGUGUCAAGAAAUUGUCGCAGGCAAGAGUGAUGGCUCAGUGGUCAAGAAUGCCUACAAAAGCUGUAAUCCCAGCACUUGGGACAUGGAGACAGGAAAAUCAAAAGUUCAAGGUUCUUCUCGGGCACAAAGGUCUCCUGUGCCUCAGACUGGCCUUGAAGUUUCUAUACAGCAGAGGGGAUAACGUUGAAUUUCUGAUCCCAUGUCUUCACCUCCUGAGUGACAGGAUUACAGGUGUGCCUCACUGCAUGUGAUUUCUGGGGCACUGGGGAUGGGAAACGGGACUUCAUGCAAACCAACUGAGUUACCUCCCAAGGCAAUGUU